GUGCCUACGGGACGCAGCAGUGAGGAAUAUUGGUCAAUGGCCGAGAGGCUGAACCAGCCAAGUCGCGUGAGGGAAGACGGCCCUACGGGUUGUAAACCUCUUUUGUCGGGGAGCAAAGCGAGUCACGUGUGACUCAUUGAGAGUACCCGAAGAAAAAGCAUCGGCUAACUCCGUGCCAACAGCCGCGGUAAUACGGAGGAUGCGAGCGUUAUCCGGAUUUAUUGGGUUUAAAGGGUGCGCAGGCGGAGGUGCAAGUCAGCGGUCAAAUUGCGGGGCUCAACUCCGUACUGCCGUUGAAACUGCAU
rnacentral:rRNA from 1 species